rnacentral:rRNA from 1 species
AUUGACCGCUGGCGGCAGGCCUAACACAUGCAAGUCGCACGAGAGGCGGACGGGUGAGUAAUGUCUGGGAAACUGCCUGAUUGAGGGGGAUAACUACUGGAAACGGUAGCUAUUACCGCAUACCAUCGGUUUUGCCCAGAUGGGAUUAGCUAGCAGGUGGGGUAAAGGGUCACCUAGUCGCCGAUCCCUAGCUGGUCUGAGAGGAUGACCAGCCACAAGGGAAAUGAUACAGGGUCCAGACUGCCACGGUAGGCAGCAGUGGGGAAUAUUGCACAAGUGGCGCAAGCCUGAUGCAGCCAUGCCGGGUGUAGGGAGAAGGACUUCGGGUUGUAAAGUAAUUUCCGCGGGGAGGCGUUACCCGCAGAAGAAGAAACGGCAAACUCCGGGACAGCAGCCGCGGUAAUUC